CUUCUGCUUAUGGAAAACAAGAUAAAUUCCAACUGGUGCAUGGAGGCAUCAGGUGUUGGCCAGGAAGCCUUUGCCAGCUACAUCCAGCCUCAGAGUCAAAAGAGGAAUAAAUGGAAAACACAUUGAAGAGAGGAUUAUGUCCAUAUGGAGGAGGAUUGACAUCCAUUUCCAGACUGGGAAGAUGGAGUUAUACCAGCCAGUUUUCCUUUGGUUAUCCACCUAAGAUGCCUGUGCAGAUUCAACAGGGUGUUGACCUGGAUCUCUCAGAACAGCUCAUGGGGAGGAAAGACCCUCUGACACAAAACCACGUCACUGGAGAGGGAGCUGUAAUGUCAGGGAGGGCAUCUGGAAGAUCAAAGUGGGAAUAAACCAAUCACUCCAACCCUAUUAUUUCCGGCCUUUUGAAGCACAGCUCAUGAGUCUUAACAAGAAAAGACUUUUUGUGUAAAAUUCAGUAAAUUAAAAUAAAAACAACAAACCCAGACCAAACACGCACAGGCCUGUGGGGGAAAAGCUAGAAUUGAAUUUCCAUAACGCGGACCUUUCCCAGAAAAGCCAGCGCGGAUCAGCGUGAAAUGCAACACCACACAUCUGCGAGGGAGUCUGCCCAGCUCCUCCCAGCCUUUUCCAUUUUCAUCAUUUGCCAUCCUUUGAAACCUUCCACGAUGACAAUUCACCAGCACAGCCCAGCUCUGCCCCAGAGGGAGCUCUGGGACGCUGGGGCUGCCUGGAGUCAGGAGGAAG